rnacentral:rRNA from 1 species
GGUUAAGCGACUAAGCGUACACGGUGGAUGCCCUGGCAGUCAGAGGCGAUGAAGGACGUGCUAAUCUGCGAAAAGCGUCGGUAAGGUGAUAUGAACCGUUAUAACCGGCGAUGUCCGAAUGGGGAAACCCAGUGCAAUUCGUUGCACUAUCGUUAACUGAAUACAUAGGUUAACGAGGCGAACCGGGGGAACUGAAACAUCUAAGUACCCCGAGGAAAAGAAAUCAACCGAGAUUCCCCCAGUAGCGGCGAGCGAACGGGGAGCAGCCCGGAGUCUGAAUCAGCUUGUGUGUUAGUGGAAGCGUCUGGAAAGUCGCAGGGUACAGGGUGAUACUCCCGUACACUAAAACGCACAGGCUGUGAACUCGAAGAGUAGGGCGGGACACGUGGUAUCCUGUCUGAAUAUGGGGGGACCAUCCUCCAAGGCUAAAUACUCCUGACUGACCGAUAGUGAACCAGUACCGUGAGGGAAAGGCGAAAAGAACCCCGGCGAGGGGAGUGAAAAAGAACCUGAAACCGUGUACGUACAAGCAGUAGGAGCCCACUAGUUGGGUGACUGCGUACCUUUUGUAUAAUGGGUCAGCGACUUAUAUUCUGUAGCAAGGUUAACCGAAUAGGGGAGCCGCAGGGAAACCGAGUCUUAACUGGGCGUUAAGUUGCAGGGUAUAGACCCGAAACCCGGUGAUCUAGCCAUGGGCAGGUUGAAGGUUGGGUAACACUAACUGGAGGACCGAACCGACUAAUGUUGAAAAAUUAGCGGAUGACUUGUGGCUGGGGGUGAAAGGCCAAUCAAACCGGGAGAUAGCUGGUUCUCCCCGAAAGCUAUUUAGGUAGCGCCUCGUGAACUCAUCUUCGGGGGUAGAGCACUGUUUCGGCUAGGGGGUCAUCCCGACUUACCAACCCGAUGCAAACUACGAAUACCGAAGAAUGUUAUCACGGGAGACACACGGCGGGUGCUAACGUCCGUCGUGAAGAGGGAAACAACCCAGACCGCCAGCUAAGGUCCCAAAGUCAUGGUUAAGUGGGAAACGAUGUGGGAAGGCCCAGACAGCCAGGAUGUUGGCUUAGAAGCAGCCAUCAUUUAAAGAAAGCGUAAUAGCUCACUGGUCGAGUCGGCCUGCGCGGAAGAUGUAACGGGGCUAAACCAUGCACCGAAGCUGCGGCAGCGACACUAUGUGUUGUUGGGUAGGGGAGCGUUCUGUAAGCCGUUGAAGGUGGCCUGUGAGGGUUGCUGGAGGUAUCAGAAGUGCGAAUGCUGACAUAAGUAACGAUAAUGCGGGUGAAAAACCCGCACGCCGGAAGACCAAGGGUUCCUGUCCAACGUUAAUCGGGGCAGGGUGAGUCGACCCCUAAGGCGAGGCCGAAAGGCGUAGUCGAUGGGAAACAGGUUAAUAUUCCUGUACUUGGUGUUACUGCGAAGGGGGGACGGAGAAGGCUAUGUUGGCCGGGCGACGGUUGUCCCGGUUUAAGCAUGUAGGCGGAUGUUCCAGGUAAAUCCGGAACGUUACUAACGCUGAGGUGUGAUGACGAGGCACUACGGUGCUGAAGUGACAAAUGCCCUGCUUCCAGGAAAAGCCUCUAAGCAUCAGGUAACAUCAAAUCGUACCCCAAACCGACACAGGUGGUCAGGUAGAGAAUACCAAGGCGCUUGAGAGAACUCGGGUGAAGGAACUAGGCAAAAUGGUGCCGUAACUUCGGGAGAAGGCACGCUGAUGGUAGGUGAAGUGACUUGCUCAUGGAGCUGAAAUCAGUCGAAGAUACCAGCUGGCUGCAACUGUUUAUUAAAAACACAGCACUGUGCAAACACGAAAGUGGACGUAUACGGUGUGACGCCUGCCCGGUGCCGGAAGGUUAAUUGAUGGGGUUAUCCUCGCGGAGAAGCUCUUGAUCGAAGCCCCGGUAAACGGCGGCCGUAACUAUAACGGUCCUAAGGUAGCGAAAUUCCUUGUCGGGUAAGUUCCGACCUGCACGAAUGGCGUAAUGAUGGCCAGGCUGUCUCCACCCGAGACUCAGUGAAAUUGAACUCGCUGUGAAGAUGCAGUGUACCCGCGGCAAGACGGAAAGACCCCGUGAACCUUUACUAUAGCUUGACACUGAACACUGGUCCUUGAUGUGUAGGAUAGGUGGGAGGCUUUGAAGUGUGGACGCCAGUCUGCAUGGAGCCAUCCUUGAAAUACCACCCUUUAAUGGCUGGUGUUCUAACGUGGGCCCGUGAUCCGGGUUGCGGACAGUGUCUGGUGGGUAGUUUGACUGGGGCGGUCUCCUCCUAAAGAGUAACGGAGGAGCACGAAGGUCAGCUAAUCCUGGUCGGACAUCAGGAGGUUAGUGCAAUGGCAUAAGCUGGCUUGACUGCGAGCGUGACGGCGCGAGCAGGUGCGAAAGCAGGUCAUAGUGAUCCGGUGGUUCUGAAUGGAAGGGCCAUCGCUCAACGGAUAAAAGGUACUCCGGGGAUAACAGGCUGAUACCGCCCAAGAGUUCAUAUCGACGGCGGUGUUUGGCACCUCGAUGUCGGCUCAUCACAUCCUGGGGCUGAAGUAGGUCCCAAGGGUAUGGCUGUUCGCCAUUUAAAGUGGUACGCGAGCUGGGUUUAGAACGUCGUGAGACAGUUCGGUCCCUAUCUGCCGUGGGCGCUGGAGAAUUGAGGGGGGCUGCUCCUAGUACGAGAGGACCGGAGUGGACGCAUCACUGGUGUUCGGGUUGUCAUGCCAAUGGCAUUGCCCGGUAGCUAAAUGCGGAAGAGAUAAGUGCUGAAAGCAUCUAAGCACGAAACUUGCCCCGAGAUGAGUUCUCCCUGACCCUUUAAGGGUCCUGAAGGAACGUUGAAGACGACGACGUUGAUAGGCCGGGUGUGUAAGCGCAGCGAUGCGUUGAGCUAACCGGUACUAAUGAACCGUGAGGCUUAACCUU